AUGGUAACUACCUUCCUUAGGCUUUUCAGCUACCAGGCACUCUUCAAGAGAUGCAAAGUAAAUUAAUCUGUACCUUAAUUGAAAAAUCACAGCACAGCAAGUAAUGGAAACUCAGCAGCAUCCAGCCUGCAGAUGAGUUUCAGGUCUGCCUAUGCCCCGGUGACAGUUCCAUAACCAGCCCUAAGGCCUCCAGCAGUGGAUUCUCCCAGGCCUCCCUCCAGAGUGAGCCCCAGUCUAAAGGAAUGUAAAAAAAAUUGCAUCUGAGCUUUCAAGUAACAAGUUGCACACAGGGGACUUGCUGUGAAGAGCUGUUGAAAUGUAAGGUGCUAAGACUUAUAACAAGAUCCUGGCCAAAAAAUAACAGCUUUAAGAGUCAAGAACUUGUCAAGAAGCAGCUUCAUUGACCAUGCCUUCAAAAGCAGUGAGAGCAUUAAACAUAAUAUUUUACUGGGAAAGGCUGGAAAUGCAAAGUAUUUUUGGCCUGAUACAGUAAAUAAUUUUCUUUUUUUGGUAUGGCAAAUAAAGG
rnacentral:lncRNA from 1 species